AUUGAACGCUGGCGGCAUGCCUUACACAUGCAAGUCGAACGGUAACGGGCCUUCGGGUGCCGACGAGUGGCGAACGGGUGAGUAAUACAUCGGAACGUGCCCGAUCGUGGGGGAUAACGAGGCGAAAGCUUUGCUAAUACCGCAUACGAUCUACGGAUGAAAGCAGGGGACCGCAAGGCCUUGCGCGGACGGAGCGGCCGAUGGCAGAUUAGGUAGUUGGUGGGAUAAAAGCUUACCAAGCCGACGAUCUGUAGCUGGUCUGAGAGGAUGAUCAGCCACACUGGGACUGAGGCACGGCCCAGACUCCUAAGGGAGGCAGCAGUGGGGAAUUUUGGACAAUGGGCGCAAGCCUGAUCCAGCCAUGCCGCGUGGAGGAUGAAGGCCUUCGGGUUGUAAACUGCUUUUGUUCGGAACGAAAAGCCUUCUUUUAAUACAGGGAGGUCAUGACGGUACCGUAAGAAUAAGCACCGGCUAACUACGUG
rnacentral:rRNA from 1 species